rnacentral:rRNA from 1 species
UACGUAGGGGGCAAGCGUUGUCCGGAUUUAUUGGGCGUAAAGAGCGUGUAGGCGGUCAGGUAGGUCCGUUGUGAAAACUCGAGGCUCAACCUCGAGACGCCGAUGGAAACCAUCUGACUAGAGUCCGGAAGAGGAGAGUGGAAUUCCUGGUGUAGCGGUGAAAUGCACAGAUAUCAGGAAGAACACCCGUGGCUAAGGCGGCUCUCUAGUACGGUACUGACGCUGAGACGCGAAAGCGUGGGGAGCGAACAGG